CGGGGCCUGCGGAGCAGCUGUGUGUCUGUUACAGGGUAACGCUGCCUUUACGCAGGGGAAACUCCCCUUCCUCUGUAAGGCAGCUGCUGUUAAACAAUAGGGAAAUCUAUUGGCUGCCUUAACAGAUGUCUCUUCCCUGAGCACUGAGUAAACUGUCUCCAUUUACAGUGUCAAUACCGGCUCCAAGUCCUCCCUGCUCUCCAAGCACCAGCCGUGGCCGGCGGCCGCCUCUGACUCCUGCGCGCAGUGAAAGCUGUCAAUAGACGUGUCAAUAAGGUGCACGAGGACCCGUGAGCGAGCUGCCUGCGAUCCCGGCGUUGUGCUGCCGUUAGGUUUUCUGCCUGAGGGACAACGAUAUACUGCAACGAUUAAGAUGGAGACGGGGGAAACCUUGUGGUCCGGGGCUUGGAGCGGAGGAUGCUGAAUUGCCCUGUAAAUAUGAGGCCUGCAUCACGUCAGAGGUGCUCUGCUGUUCUCCGCAGCGUUUGGACAUGAUAUAGUAACGUAAAAAUAGUGAUAAUGGUAACGUACACCCAUGCAGCCGCUCCUCCCUGCCGCAGGCACGGGAGCGUGAAAUCCAAGACGCGGAACCCGAGCCCCUUUCCCGGGAGGAGGAAAUCCAGAAGGCUGCUGGGAGAAGCAGCCCCAAGGCAGAGCGGCGGCGGGCGGCUUCCAGCCCGCGCCGAGGCGAGAGGGCCGUAAACCGGAGCCGCCGUCCCCGGGGCGUCAGGCCUCUGUCCUGAUGUGCCGGGAAUACCUGCUUCUCCUCUCGCCUAAACUCCUGGUGAACCAACGGGCUUCAGAGCGCAUUUAUAUGCAAAGGCGCAUAAUAUGUCCCCUGUAUCUAAUUAUCUGUCAACCUGAGGCAGUUUGUUUUCCAAAUCGGCCUCUCGGCUGUGACUUUACGAGGUCAUAAAGAAAACGGUGCCACUCUCGGGGCUGAAAUGCCAGGAGAGGCUGGAUCAACAAAUUACGGGCUGUAACGGUGUCUCUCUGCCGCAGGUUCACCCGGCGCCGUCCCCUCGGACCAUCCCGGGCGGACUAACCGCGGCGUUCACUGGAGCCGGCUCCGGCCAGGCCGCCGCGAGAGCCGCCCGCUGCCAGCGAAACCCUAGCCGCAGCAUUCCUCUGCCCACGCGGCUCCCGUGAUUAAUGAUGGAAAGGAAUUAAAGAAAAGGAGCGCGGGAGAGGGGAGGGGAGCGGGUCAACAGCUGAGUGCAAGGCGAGUCGCUAGACAGGGAGUAAUUAAGAUACUUGGGUAAAUAUGAUUAAUAAGCUCAAACUGGCAGGGUGUGCAGUAAACAAGGGCUAACCAGAUGGUACCCUUUCCUUUCUGACAGCGCCGCAAGCUUGAUAAAAAUAGGAAGGCUCUUUGCGAUGCGCGGGGCGCUCGGCGGGCGCGGGAGGCCAGCGCCGGCCGGCAGCGAGUCACCUGCUGGGAACGAAGGACGUUUCCCCUCGUGGCACCGCGGCCGGGCCGGGCUGCGGGGCUGCAGCGGGGAUGUCCUCGGCGUGCCGGCCGGAGGGUCCGGCGCGGGUCACAUCCCGGCCCGGCCGAUUGCUCCGGCACCGGCUGCACUCGGCGGCGAGACGCCGGGCCGGCAACACGCCUCUCUCCUCCCUUCCUCCCCGCGCCAGGUAGGGCGCUCGUUGCCGGCAAGCGCUGCUCAGAAACGGCCCAACAAAAUGCUCCUCUGGCAGAAGAUGCCAUUUCACCAAAGGUGAAACAUUUGCGGAAAUGCACUGAUUUUGAUGAAAUUGCAUUUGGAAAGAAAAAUCAAAGGAGAAAAUCAUUCCGAUAAGGCCAAAGCAUUUCAGUCUGACCUUUUAGGAAUUAAAUGGCGUAGGUUUUUUCCAUUUCAAAAUGCGUUUUGUUUCAAUGUACUACACACACACACACAUGUAUGUAAGAACUAUUGAAACCGGAAUUAAAUGUUGUGAUUAUCCCAACACAUGGUGAUAUUUUUCCUUCAGUGCAAUAUCAGAAGAAAUUAGGAGCAAAUAUCCUUCUGGUUUGAAAUGGGGAAGGGAAAUCUGAGGAAUGAAAAACCCGGCUCCCC